UUAUGUAGGCGGCUUUGUAAGUCAUCGGUCAAAUACCACUGCCUAACGGUGGGAAGGCCUGUGAUACUGCAUUGCUAGAGGUAGCUAGGGGUAAGCGGAACUUGUCGAGUAGCAGUAAAAUGCGUUGAUACGACAGGGAACACCAAAGGGGUAGCCAGCUUACUGGGGCUUAUCUGACGCUGAUAUACGAAAGCGUGGAGAACGAAAC
rnacentral:rRNA from 1 species